rnacentral:rRNA from 1 species
AACGAACGCUGGCGGCAUGCCUAACACAUGCAAGUCGAACGAGACCUUCGGGUCUAGUUGCGCACGGGUGCGUAACGCGUGGGAACCUGCCCUUAGGUUCGGAAUAACUCCCCGAAAGGGGUGCUAAUACCGGAUAAUGUCUUCGGACCCAAGAUUUAUCGCCUUUGGAGGGGCCCGCGUUGGAUUAGCUAGUUGGUAGGGUAAAAGCCAACCAAGGCGACGAUCCAUAGCUGGUCUGAGAGGAUGAUCAGCCACACUGGGACUGAGACACGGCCCAGACUCCUACGGGAGGCAGCAGUGGGGAAUAUUGGACGAUGGGCGAAAGCCUGAUCCAGCAAUGCCGCGUGAGUGAUGAAGGCCUUAGGGUUGUAAAGCUCUUUUACCCGGGAUGAUAAUGACAGUACCGGGAGAAUAAGCUCCGGCUAACUCCGUG